rnacentral:rRNA from 1 species
UACAGAGGGUGCGAGCGUUGUCCGGAAUCACUGGGCGUAAAGGGCGCGUAGGUGGUGGCUUAAGCGUGCGGUGAAAGCUCGGAGCUCAACUCCGAGUCGGCCGUGCGAACUGGGCUCACUGGAGCAUAGUAGAGGCAGGUGGAAUUCCGGGUGUAGCGGUGGAAUGCGUAGAGAUCCGGAAGAACACCGGUGGCGAAGGCGGCCUGCUGGGCUAUGGCUGACGCUGAGGUGCGAAAGCGUGGGGAGCAAACAGG